GGCGAACGGGUGAGUAAUGCAUCGGAACGUGCCCAACUGUGGGGGAUAACUCGGCGAAAGCCGGAUUAAUACCGCAUACGAUCCACGGAUGAAAGCGGGGGACCUUCGGGCCUCGCGCAGUUGGAGCGGCCGAUGUUAGAUUAGGUAGUUGGUGGGGUAAAGGCUCACCAAGCCAACGAUCUAUAGCUGGUCUGAGAGGACGACCAGCCACACUGGGACUGAGACACGGCCCAGACUCCUACGGGAGGCAGCAGUGGGGAAUUUUGGACAAUGGGCGCAAGCCUGAUCCAGCAAUACCGCGUGCAGGAAGAAGGCCUUCGGGUUGUAAACUGCUUUUGUACGGAACGAAAAGGUCUGGGUUAAUACCCUGGGCCCAUGACGGUACCGUAAGAAUAAGCACCGGCUAACUACGUGCCAGCAGCCGCGGUAAUACGUAGGGUGCAAGCGUUAAUCGGAAUUACUGGGCGUAAAGCGUGC
rnacentral:rRNA from 1 species